rnacentral:rRNA from 1 species
AAAUUGAAGAGUUUGAUCAUGGCUCAGAUUGAACGCUGGCGGCAGGCCUAACACAUGCAAGUCGAACGGUAACAGGAAUCAGCUUGCUGAUUCGCUGACGAGUGGCGGACGGGUGAGUAAUGUCUGGGAAACUGCCUGAUGGAGGGGGAUAACUACUGGAAACGGUAGCUAAUACCGCAUAACGUCGCAAGACCAAAGAGGGGGACCUUCGGGCCUCUUGCCAUCGGAUGUGCCCAGAUGGGAUUAGCUAGUA